GCAAAGCGAAGGCCGGGAUGUCAAAUUCCCAGGCCGAGUCGAGAUCCCCGCUCCGACGAGGGCGGGGCGCACCGACGGCCCGCGCCGAGACCGAUUCAUCGGUGGCGCGGAGCCCGAGCACACACGUUGGUACCCGAAAGAUGGUGAACUAUACCUGGACAGGACGAAGCCAGAGGAAACUCUGGUGGAGGU
rnacentral:rRNA from 1 species